AUUGAACGCUGGCGGCAGGCCUAACACAUGCAAGUCGAGCGGUUGAAGGGAGCUUGCUCCCUGAUUCAGCGGCGGACGGGUGAGUAAUGCCUAGGAAUCUGCCUAUUAGUGGGGGACAACGUUUCGAAAGGAACGCUAAUACCGCAUACGUCCUACGGGAGAAAGCAGGGGACCUUCGGGCCUUGCGCUAAUAGAUGAGCCUAGGUCGGAUUAGCUUGUUGGUGAGGUAAUGGCUCACCAAGGCGACGAUCCGUAACUGGUCUGAGAGGAUGAUCAGUCACACUGGAACUGAGACACGGUCCAGACUCCUACGGGAGGCAGCAGUGGGGAAUAUUGGACAAUGGGCGAAAGCCUGAUCCAGCCAUGCCGCGUGUGUGAAGAAGGUCUUCGGAUUGUAAAGCACUUUAAGUUGGGAGGAAGGGCAGUAAGUUAAUACCUUGCUGUUUUGACGUUACCGACAGAAUAAGCACCGGCUAACUCUGUGCCAGCAGCCGCCGUAAGAC
rnacentral:rRNA from 1 species